rnacentral:lncRNA from 1 species
UUUGCUCUUUCUCAGGGGUAAGUCUGUGUGUUCAGCUCUUAAAGGGCCUCUUCUUCUUUGCAUUGGGCUUACCAGGUACACCAUUGAGCAUCAAUAAAUGUGUGCUCUGAGUCCAGGCCACUAAAUUACCAACGCCACUGCUCCUCCACAGCUGUUGUCCCUGCUACAGCCCCUACCAUGGCCACUGCCAUCUUUGCUGGCUUGGCAGGUUCCAAGUUAACUGAUGUGUAGCUGAGAUGUCCAAAUAGGAGUUACUUCAGCAGGCCACCCAUGUCUUUAGAGUCUAGAGUUGAGAGCCACCCAUGUGACAUUUCUACCUGUCCCAUGGCAGGCUACUGACCCGUUAGCCUCUACCCCAAAAUGGGCAGUGCUCCAAUCUCCAUGGGUGUUUGGCGACCCAUUCCAUCCUGGUCUCUGUGGACUUUUGUUGACCCACGCCACAUAAGCCAAAUGCAUUCUCCUUCCAAUUCCAACUAUCAAAAGAGAGAGGGAGUGUUAAAAGGCCUUCAUUUUCAUUCUUCAAAGGAGCCUAGCACUCUGGGGGAAUGGAGAAAACCAUGUAAUUUGCAUUUGGCUGCACAGAGCAAAGUUCUCUUGAAAUUCAAAGUGAUCUCAACUUAAUUUUUAGUUAUUUAUACUUCUAGAUCUAAAAUGAAGACCGAAAAGAAAAAGAAAGAAAAAACCCUCUGUUUACUUUACCAACCUUAAACUCAGAGACAGCCAUGAAGUGUGGACACCCCGCCUCCCUUAAUUGCCAUACCUCCAAGAAGCUGACCUUAGCAUGCCAUCAAUCACACGAGUGGCACAUCAAAAGCGCCUCCUGCCAGCCCCGCCUACCGCUGUGAAGUCAGAGUGACACACGUUCAUUUCCGUUGCUCGCAGCUGCAGGGCGGCCAGCCUACCCUGCAGUUGUAUUUCAUGUGUCUGAACUGUGUGGCCGCCCUGCAUAAUUCAGGAAAUGAGUUUACUCUAUCUGUGACACACAUCGUGUUCACAUCGUAUUCAUAGUGUCCUGCGCAGGGCUCUGCAGGAGUUGCUAGGGUGGCAGCCCUAUGGCACUUGCCCUGUUGCUCACUCUGCCUCACCCUUGCUGCCUAGAGCUCCGCUCCAAUUCCUCCUCACCCGUCAACUGAGAAAGUCUUCCUCUCUUUUGUGUGCUAGAAAUUUCUGGGUCUAAUCUUCUAACCUGGGAAUAAUAAAGUGCAGAUUUUUUUUUUUUUUUGAAAAAACAGAACACUUGCUAAAGUGGCAGGGCCUCUUGUCAAUCACUGUUCAGCUAACCGGAAGCUGAAAAAUGAUACCUAUCUCCUGAUGAUGCCUGCCUCCACCCCAGGUAAAAUUUGACCUCACUUACGUUCCUAUGAAGCACAUAUCCAUUUCUUGCACGUGACCUCUGUUGGAGCAGGUUAAAACAAGUCUAGAUUGGCGAGUGGGAGGCCCUCUUUUCCCUGUGAAGUAUUCAUUCUCUCAAAUGGAGACAGGGAAACGCAGAGUCUGUCCAGUAUCAAAAACAGCUCCAGCCAGCAAUGAGGUCUGAUUCUUUUGCACUAGGUUGGCCCCUCCAAGGUCAUAAAGCAAGGCCUCUGUCCUGGGCUGCAGCUGGGUUUACAUACUGUUUCCAGAUUGUUUAUUCUGGCCCAGAGUCAAGGCAACAACGUAUUUCCAUUAUACGCCUUUGACAGGCUAAGACGGGUGGUAGGGGAGGCUCCAAGUGGCAGGUUUGUGAUUUCUUUUUUUUAUUUACAUUAAAGGAGCUUUUUAGAGUCCGAAGAUUAUGAACCAGUCUAAACAUCAUGUCCGUGCAACAGAGGUGGAGAGAGUUGAGGCGUUAGCGAAAUGUCCAGAUUUGGGUCAGAAAAGGCCUCCUCUCUUCGGUCUCAGCUGGAGUGAAGCAGGUCACGCCUGUUACCACACAGUCUGUCUCCUACACAAGCUAGGAUCGUGGUGGACGAUGUUUAUUAUCAUGUUUGAACACGAAUCCCCAAGAUGGGUAGAGUGGUUCACUGAACGGACCAUGUGUUGACACACAGCCACCUGCACAUUUUGCAAUGGCCCUACAUUCAAUGCAAUAGCAGCAUGGUGCUGAGCUGGGAUGAGGUUUCCAAAGUCCUGUAGGGCUUGUCUGUGUUAGGCAGUACUUCCUGUGAAGGAUCGGCUUUCUGAAGAUGUCCCCAGUAUUCCUGAUGUGACAUCUUCCACAAGGAAUUUGACCAUCAAGGCUGACCAAAAAGACACCAUGGAUACCCACAGCAGAUGCCUUGGUGCGUGGAGCAAAUGGGUGUGAUCUGAAUGACUGUUUUACUCCUUCUAUUUUUGCAUGUGUCUAUGUGUAUAAUAUGCAUAAGCGUGGGUGUGUGUACAGUGUGCACACAUGUGGAAAGAGUCAGAAGCUAACAUCAGAUGUCUUUCUUAGACCCUCUGUACGUUAUUUAUUGAGUCAAGGUCUCUCGCUGAACCCAGAGCAUAACACUUCAACUAAUCAGGCUAACCAUGUGCCCUGUGUCUCAGCCUCCUGAGCAGUGGGAUGAGAGGAACCUGUUCUGCCCCAGCUUCUUAUGUGAGUGUCAGGAAAUCUGAACUCUGGCCCUCACCCUUGUUCUGGAAAUGCUUUCUUAUGCCAUCUCUAAAUAAAACAAAAAAACAAAAAAACAAAAAACAAAAACAAAAAAAAACAAAAAACAAACAAACAAAGAAACAAAACAGACGGCGGGGAGGGGAGGAGACAUGAUAGAGUAUUGAAGAUUAUAGCCAAUCAAAUCAUUGCGCACCACUGACACAACAGAAUCAAGUCACAUAGAUGUCACUGUGACCAGAGGUACUCAGAGUCCUUUAGUUCAUUUAGUUACAAUAUGCCUAGCACAUAGUUGUUAACUGUAAGGAGGCAGAGGCGCAUAUCUGUCUGCACAGAUACUUAAGUGUGUGGCAACCUUACAGUAGUAAUUCUAAAGCUUGACCAAGUUCGUGAAAGUGACCUGUCACCAUUACAUGGUUUCAACAGAAAGAC